AUGCGGCUAUAUCAUGUUGAAACACCAGUUCCCGUAUGAUCACCAAAGUUAUGCAAUGUCAAGCUGGGUCAGUACCUUGAUGGGUGACCACUUAGGAAUACCAGUUGCUGUAAG